rnacentral:rRNA from 1 species
CACCAGGUUGAUUCUGCCUGACGUAUGCGCUUGUCUUGAAGAUUUAGCCAUGCAAGCUCGCGAGGCCUUGUGCGGAGCAGCAGACAGCUCAGUAAUACAGUUAUAAUUUACUCGUGAUCUGAUACGGAUAACCUUGGUAAACUAAGGCUAAUACGUAGGAUAGGACGACUGACUUGAGGAAGCAGCAGUAGUCCUGAGGAUUCUAUCGCGAUUAAGUUUCUGGCCUAUCAGCUUGUUGGUAAGGUAAUGGCUUACAAAGGCUUUGACGGGUAACGGGGAAUCAGUGUUCGAUUCCGGAGAGGGAGCCUGAGAAAUAGCUCCCACGUCCAAGGAUGGCAGCAGGCGCGAAAAUUUCCCAAUUCCUUCACGGGAGAGGUAGUUAAGAGACAUGAAGUUCUACUUAGAGACUGUACAAUAAAUACGUAUAGGAUCGACUGGAGGGCAAGUCUGGUGCCAGCAGCCGCGG